rnacentral:rRNA from 1 species
UGUACACACCGCCCGUCGCUCCUACUGAUUGAAUGCUCCGGUGAAACGUCGGGAGAGCGCUUCGAUAUCAGCAAUGGUUGAAGAGUGCUCGAACUUCCUUAAAUUGUAGUAUUUAGAAGAAGGAGAAGUCGUAACAAGGUUUCCGUAGGUGAACCUGCGGAAGGAUCAUUA